UACGUAGGUGGCAAGCGUUAUCCGGAAUUAUUGGGCGUAAAGAGCGCGUAGGCGGUCCGAUAAGUCGGCUGUGAAAGUCCAGGGCUCAACCCUGGAAAGCCGGCCGAUACUGUCGGACUAGAGUCCGGAAGAGGCAAGUGGAAUUCCCGGUGUAGCGGUGAAAUGCGCAGAUAUCGGGAGGAACACCGGUGGCGAAGGCGGCGACCUGGGUCGACACUGACGCUGAGGCGCGAAAGCGUGGGGAGCAAACAGG
rnacentral:rRNA from 1 species